CCCUAGGAGUGUUACAUAAAACGAAAGUAGCUUUAUAGCAAAAUCGUACACGAUGAACAGGGAA
rnacentral:sRNA from 1 species